GGGUUGUGAGGUUAAGCGACUAAGCGUACACGGUGGAUGCCCUGGCAGUCAGAGGCGAUGAAGGACGUGCUAAUCUGCGAUAAGCGUCGGUAAGGUGAUAUGAACCGUUAUAACCGGCGAUUUCCGAAUGGGGAAACCCAGUGUGAUUCGUCACACUAUCAUUAACUGAAUCCAUAGGUUAAUGAGGCGAACCGGGGGAACUGAAACAUCUAAGUACCCCGAGGAAAAGAAAUCAACCGAGAUUCCCCCAGUAGCGGCGAGCGAACGGGGAGCAGCCCAGAGCCUGAAUCAGUGUGUGUGUUAGUGGAAGCGUCUGGAAAGGCGCGCGAUACAGGGUGACAGCCCCGUACACAAAAAUGCACAUACUGUGAGCUCGAUGAGUAGGGCGGGACACGUGGUAUCCUGUCUGAAUAUGGGGGGACCAUCCUCCAAGGCUAAAUACUCCUGACUGACCGAUAGUGAACCAGUACCGUGAGGGAAAGGCGAAAAGAACCCCGGCGAGGGGAGUGAAAAAGAACCUGAAACCGUGUACGUACAAGCAGUGGGAGCACAGAGCAAUCUGUGUGACUGCGUACCUUUUGUAUAAUGGGUCAGCGACUUAUAUUCUGUAGCAAGGUUAACCGAAUAGGGGAGCCGAAGGGAAACCGAGUCUUAACUGGGCGUUAAGUUGCAGGGUAUAGACCCGAAACCCGGUGAUCUAGCCAUGGGCAGGUUGAAGGUUGGGUAACACUAACUGGAGGACCGAACCGACUAAUGUUGAAAAAUUAGCGGAUGACUUGUGGCUGGGGGUGAAAGGCCAAUCAAACCGGGAGAUAGCUGGUUCUCCCCGAAAGCUAUUUAGGUAGCGCCUCGUGAAUUCAUCUCCGGGGGUAGAGCACUGUUUCGGCAAGGGGGUCAUCCCGACUUACCAACCCGAUGCAAACUGCGAAUACCGGAGAAUGUUAUCACGGGAGACACACGGCGGGUGCUAACGUCCGUCGUGAAGAGGGAAACAACCCAGACCGCCAGCUAAGGUCCCAAAGUCAUGGUUAAGUGGGAAACGAUGUGGGAAGGCCCAGACAGCCAGGAUGUUGGCUUAGAAGCAGCCAUCAUUUAAAGAAAGCGUAAUAGCUCACUGGUCGAGUCGGCCUGCGCGGAAGAUGUAACGGGGCUAAACCAUGCACCGAAGCUGCGGCAGCGACGCUUAUGCGUUGUUGGGUAGGGGAGCGUUCUGUAAGCCUGUGAAGGUGUACUGUGAGGUAUGCUGGAGGUAUCAGAAGUGCGAAUGCUGACAUAAGUAACGAUAAAGCGGGUGAAAAGCCCGCUCGCCGGAAGACCAAGGGUUCCUGUCCAACGUUAAUCGGGGCAGGGUGAGUCGACCCCUAAGGCGAGGCCGAAAGGCGUAGUCGAUGGGAAACAGGUUAAUAUUCCUGUACUUGGUGUUACUGCGAAGGGGGGACGGAGAAGGCUAUGUUGGCCGGGCGACGGUUGUCCCGGUUUAAGCGUGUAGGCUGGUUUUCCAGGCAAAUCCGGAAAAUCAAGGCUGAGGCGUGAUGACGAGGCACUACGGUGCUGAAGCAACAAAUGCCCUGCUUCCAGGAAAAGCCUCUAAGCAUCAGGUAACAUCAAAUCGUACCCCAAACCGACACAGGUGGUCAGGUAGAGAAUACCAAGGCGCUUGAGAGAACUCGGGUGAAGGAACUAGGCAAAAUGGUGCCGUAACUUCGGGAGAAGGCACGCUGAUAUGUAGGUGAAGUCCCUCGCGGAUGGAGCUGAAAUCAGUCGAAGAUACCAGCUGGCUGCAACUGUUUAUUAAAAACACAGCACUGUGCAAACACGAAAGUGGACGUAUACGGUGUGACGCCUGCCCGGUGCCGGAAGGUUAAUUGAUGGGGUCAGCGCAAGCGAAGCUCUUGAUCGAAGCCCCGGUAAACGGCGGCCGUAACUAUAACGGUCCUAAGGUAGCGAAAUUCCUUGUCGGGUAAGUUCCGACCUGCACGAAUGGCGUAAUGAUGGCCAGGCUGUCUCCACCCGAGACUCAGUGAAAUUGAACUCGCUGUGAAGAUGCAGUGUACCCGCGGCAAGACGGAAAGACCCCGUGAACCUUUACUAUAGCUUGACACUGAACAUUGAGCCUUGAUGUGUAGGAUAGGUGGGAGGCUUAGAAGUGUGGACGCCAGUCUGCAUGGAGCCGACCUUGAAAUACCACCCUUUAAUGUUUGAUGUUCUAACGUUGACCCGUAAUCCGGGUUGCGGACAGUGUCUGGUGGGUAGUUUGACUGGGGCGGUCUCCUCCUAAAGAGUAACGGAGGAGCACGAAGGUUGGCUAAUCCUGGUCGGACAUCAGGAGGUUAGUGCAAUGGCAUAAGCCAGCUUGACUGCGAGCGUGACGGCGCGAGCAGGUGCGAAAGCAGGUCAUAGUGAUCCGGUGGUUCUGAAUGGAAGGGCCAUCGCUCAACGGAUAAAAGGUACUCCGGGGAUAACAGGCUGAUACCGCCCAAGAGUUCAUAUCGACGGCGGUGUUUGGCACCUCGAUGUCGGCUCAUCACAUCCUGGGGCUGAAGUAGGUCCCAAGGGUAUGGCUGUUCGCCAUUUAAAGUGGUACGCGAGCUGGGUUUAGAACGUCGUGAGACAGUUCGGUCCCUAUCUGCCGUGGGCGCUGGAGAACUGAGGGGGGCUGCUCCUAGUACGAGAGGACCGGAGUGGACGCAUCACUGGUGUUCGGGUUGUCAUGCCAAUGGCACUGCCCGGUAGCUAAAUGCGGAAGAGAUAAGUGCUGAAAGCAUCUAAGCACGAAACUUGCCCCGAGAUGAGUUCUCCCUGACUCCUUGAGAGUCCUGAAGGAACGUUGAAGACGACGACGUUGAUAGGCCGGGUGUGUAAGCGCAGCGAUGCGUUGAGCUAACCGGUACUAAUGAACCGUGAGG
rnacentral:rRNA from 1 species